rnacentral:rRNA from 1 species
GGAGUUAGCCGGUGCUUCUUCUGCGAGUAACGUCACAGAUGUAAGGUAUUAACUUACACCCUUUCCUCCUCGCUGAAAGUGCUUUACAACCCGAAGGCCUUCUUCACACACGCGGCAUGGCUGCAUCAGGGUUUCCCCCAUUGUGCAAUAUUCCCCACUGCUGCCUCCCGUAGGAGUCUGGGCCGUGUCUCAGUCCCAGUGUGGCUGAUCAUCCUCUCAGACCAGCUAGGGAUCGUCGCCUAGGUGAGCCUUUACCUCACCUACUAGCUAAUCCCACCUGGGCUUAUCCAUCAGCGCAAGGCCCGAAGGUCCCCUGCUUUCCCCCGUAGGGCGUAUGCGGUAUUAGCAGUCGUUUCCAACUGUUAUCCCCCACAAAUGGGCAAAUUCCCAGGCAUUACUCACCCGUCCGCCGCUCGUCAUCUUCAAAAGACAAGCUUUUGUAAAUAGUUACCGCUCGACUUGCAUGUGUUAGGCCUGCCGCCAGCGUUCAAUACUGAGCCACUGAUCAAACUACCUGA